GUUUUUACCCUGUCUACAGUUUCUCUGGUGCCAGCAGCGGCGGUAAUUCCAGCUCCGGUAGCGUAUAUUUAAAUUGUUGCGUUUGAAAAGC